rnacentral:rRNA from 1 species
UACGAAGGGGGGCUAGCGUUGCUCGGAAUCACUGGGCGUAAAGGGUGCGUAGGCGGGUCUUUUAAGUCAGGGGUGAAAUCCUGGAGCUCAACUCCAGAACUGCCUUUGAUACUGAAGAUCUCGAGUUCGGGAGAGGUGAGUGGAACUGCGAGUGUUAGAGGUGAAAUUCGUAGAUAUUCGCAAGAACACCAGUGGCGAAGGCGGCUCACUGGCCCGAUACUGACGCUGAGGAGCGAAAGCGUGGGGAGCGAACAGG